rnacentral:pre_miRNA from 1 species
ACUGCAUUCGAGUGUGUGGGUAGAGUGGUAAAUUUUCUAGCACCAUUCGAAUUCAGUGC